GAUCUGUAGCUCAGUUGGUUAGAGCGUUCGCUUCACACGCGAGAGGUCGUUGGUUCGAGUCCAAUCAGAUCC
rnacentral:tRNA from 1 species